rnacentral:rRNA from 1 species
GACGAACGCUGGCGGCGUGCCUAAUACAUGCAAGUUGAGCGCUGAAGGUUGGUACUUGUACCAACUGGAUGAGCAGCGAACGGGUGAGUAACGCGUGGGGAAUCUGCCUUUGAGCGGGGGACAACAUUUGGAAACGAGUGCUAAUACCGCAUAAAAACUUUAAACACAAGUUUUAAGUUUGAAAGAUGCAAUUGCAUCACUCAAAGAUGAUCCCGCGUUGUAUUAGCUAGUUGGGGAGGUAAAGGCUCACCAAGGCGAUGAUACAUAGCCGACCUGAGAGGGUGAUCGGCCACAUUGGGACUGAGACACGGCCCAAACUCCUACGGGAGGCAGCAGUAGGGAAUCUUCGGCAAUGGACGAAAGUCUGACCGAGCAACGCCGCGUGAGUGAAGAAGGUUUUCGGAUCGUAAAACUCUGUUGGUAGAGAAGAACGUUGGUGAGAGUGGAAAGCUCAUCAAGUGACGGUAACUACCCAGAAAGGGACGGCUAACUACGUG